UACGUAGGCAGCGAGCGUUGUUCGGAGUUACUGGGCGUAAAGGGUGUGUAGGCGGUUUUCUAAGUUUGGUGUGAAAUCUCCCGGCUCAACCGGGAGGGUGCGCCGAAAACUGGGAGACUAGAGUGCGGGAUGGGAGAGUAGAAUUCCUGGUGUAGCGGUGAAAUGCGUAGAUAUCAGGAGGAAUACCGGUGGUGUAGCCGGCUCUCUGGACCGCCACUGACGCUGAAUCGCGAAAGCUAGGGGAGCAAACGGG
rnacentral:rRNA from 1 species